GCGCAGGUGGCGAAAUUGGUAGACGCGCUACUCUCAGGAGGUAGUGCCAGAAAUGGUGUGGCAGUUCGACUCUGCUCCUGCGCA
rnacentral:tRNA from 2 species